rnacentral:rRNA from 1 species
AUUGAACGCUGGCGGCAGGCCUAACACAUGCAAGUCGAGCGGUAGAGAGAAGCUUGCUCCUCUUGAGAGCGGCGGACGGGUGAGUAAAGCCUAGGAAUCUGCCUGGUAGUGGGGGAUAACGUUCGGAAACGGACGCUAAUACCGCAUACGUCCUACGGGAGAAAGCAGGGGACCUUCGGGCCUUGCGCUAUCAGAUGAGCCUAGGUCGGAUUAGCUAGUUGGUGAGGUAAUGGCUCACCAAGGCGACGAUCCGUAACUGGUCUGAGAGGAUGAUCAGUCACACUGGAACUGAGACACGGUCCAGACUCCUACGGGAGGCAGCAGUGGGGAAUAUUGGACAAUGGGCGAAAGCCUGAUCCAGCCAUGCCGCGUGUGUGAAGAAGGUCUUCGGAUUGUAAAGCACUUUAAGUUGGGAGGAAGGGCAUUAACCUAAUACGUUAGUGUUUUGACGUUACCGACAGAAUAAGCACCGGCUAACACUGUGCCAGCCGCUGCAGUAA